rnacentral:rRNA from 1 species
CACGCCGUAAACGAUGAGUGCUAGGUGUUAGGGGUUUCGAUGCCCUUAGUGCCGCAGCAAACGCAAUAAGCACUCCGCCUGGGGAGUACGGCCGCAAGGCUGAAACUCAAAGGAAUUGACGGGGGCCCGCACAAGCAGUGGAGCAUGUGGUUUAAUUCGAAGCAACGCGAAGAACCUUACCAAGGCUUGACAUCCCAUUGACCGGUAUAGAGAUAUACCUUUUCUUCGGAACAAUGGUGACAGGUGG